rnacentral:rRNA from 1 species
UGAACGCGUGGCCGGCAGGCUUAACACAUGCAAGUCGAGGGGCAUCACGGGUAGCAAUACCUGGUGGCGACCGGCGCAAGGGUGCGUAACGCGUGAGCAACUAUGCCCUAUACAGGGGGAUAAUCCAGGGAAACCUUGGUCUAAUAUCCCAUAGCAUUUAGAGGUGGCAUCACCAUUAAAUUAAAGCUUACGGUGGUAUAGGAUUGGCUCGCGUGACAUUAGCUAGAUGGUGGGGUAACGGCUCACCAUGGCUAUGAUGUCUAGGGGUUCUGAGAGGAAGACCCCCCACACUGGGACUGAGACACGGCCCAGACUCCUACGGGAGGCAGCAGUGAGGAAUAUUGGACAAUGGAUGGAAAUCUGAUCCAGCCAUGCCGCGUCGCAGGAAGACGGCCCUAUGGGUUGUAAACUGCUUUUAUAUGGGAGCAAUAAGGUCUACGAGUAGACCGAUGAGAGUACCAUAUGAAUAAGCAUCGGCUAACUCCGUG